rnacentral:pre_miRNA from 1 species
UGGGAGCACAGGAUCUUGGGCUGUGUCCCCCAGUGCCCUGUGCUCCCGGGGCUGCGCUGCUGGAAUCGCACUCCCGGCCGCGCAGCUCCCU